rnacentral:rRNA from 1 species
AUGGCCAGAGUUUUUCAUGUCUACAACUAUGAGCAAGUGGCCAGAAAAGAGACCUUUGUACGUGGCACAGGACGGUUUGUGAUCAGUGAUGACAUGACAAUCAAGCCAGCAUCUACAGGAGUCAUACAGUCGCUGCCUCAAGCGUUCGGUUCUAAUGGAAUCGCCCAUGGCUUUGAGGAGCUGGAAGUGACCGUCAGCUGGCUCACUGUUUCAUCCAUGCUGAAGGCCUUCCUUUCAUCAGAUACCGUGCUCAGUGAUGCGUUCCUAACAAAUGAACCUGAUGGCAAGGCUGCUCAUGCUACCGCGAAACCGAGCAUCGAUCGGAAAAUUCCACCGUCCGAUCAAGAUUCCGCAGGUUCUUUCCCAGAAAGCAAGAUCAAGAUUUUCUAUGACACAUAUAAAAAGAAGGUCAUGUAUGCUGAAUGCAACCGUGAGUUCGUGGACCUGCUCAUGGGUUUCUUGACUUACCCUGCGAGCUGCGUGAUCAAGCACACAGGAGCUGUCACUUGCCAUCUUGGCAGGUGCUUCACAAAUCUCUAUAGCAGCGUUGUCGAUCUCGCCAAUGCUGGGUGCUUCACAGGUGGCCUCCCUGGUGUGAUGUUACUGGAUCCAAGCAUUAUGCCGUUUGACAUUUUGAGCAACAUCUUGUCCGACCGGUGCCGGCCGCUUGACUGUCGGUGUCGGAAGGACACGAUGCCAGAGCUAGCACGCUACUGCUUCCACCCUGAGAUUGUCGAGGACCGAAAGUACGUCGUAGGCGAUGAUCUGCUUAUACAUCAGGCAACUGCCAUGUCUGUGAUGAAGUAUUGGUCUGGGAGGAACAAGGCUAUGGUACUGGAGACUGACAUUACCGUAGGGAAGCAGGAGGCUGUUGCGUUGCUGCGAGCCGCGCUAAUAACUUCGAAGAAUGCACUGACCGAAGUGUUCAUAGAUAGGCUGGAGGCACAGUCGGUCCCCGGGGGGCGGAUCAUAACCGUGGAGGUUGCAAGGUCCGACACCAUUGCGACUGUCAAGGGUAGGAUCAAGGAUAGGGUGUCUAUUCCUGAGGGGUUUCGUCAUGAAUUGGUCUACGGUAGCAGAUAUCUUAAAGACUCGCGCACAGUUGCCGAU